UGAUCAUGCGAGUCGGACGGGAGAGCUAUGGCUCUUCAGUGGCGUCCGGGUGCGGAGCGCGUGGGCAAUCUAUCGCCGGGUGGGGGCUAUCUUCCCGAAAGGGGGGCUAAUCCCGCCUACGCUCGACGGUCGCCGGAUCGUCGUGGAAAGCACCAGGGGGCAGUUCCCUGGUGCGCCCGGUGCGAAGCUCGCGUCCUAUCAGCUAGUUGGGGGGGUGAUGGCCUCCCAAGGCCAAGACGGGUAGCCGGGCUGAGAGGCUGACCGGCCACACGGGGACUGAGAGAUGGUCCCGCGCCCUACGGGGUGUAGCAUGAAGGAAUCUUGCACACUGGGCGAAAGCCUGAUGCAGCAACGCCGCGUGCGGGAUGACGCCUUACGGGGUGUAAACCGCUGUACGGGGGGACGAAGGUGACGGUACCUCCGCAGGAAGUCUCGGCUAACUCCGUGCCAGCAGCCGCGGUAAGACGGAGGAGACAAGCGUUAUCCGGAUUUACUGGGCGUAAAGGGCCCGUAGGGGGUCGUCUACGGGCGUCGUGGAAGCCCCGUGCUCAACGCGGGGAGGUCGGCGCCGACGGGACGACUAGAGGCUGGGCGAGGCGCGGGGAACGGCGGGGGGAGUGGUGGCAUACGUAGAGCCCCGUCGGAACACCGGUAGCCGAAGGCGCCGCGCUGGACCAGUCCUGACCCUGAGGUGCGAAAGGGUGGGGCGCCGAACGGACUUUAGAUACUCCCGGUUAGUCCCACCCCCUGACCGAUGCCCACUG
rnacentral:rRNA from 1 species